rnacentral:tRNA from 1 species
GGAAAGGUAGCGAAGAGGCUAAACGCGGCGGACUGUAAAUCCGCUCCUUCGGGUUCGGGGGUUCGAAUCCCUCUCUUUCCA